GUAGGGAAUAUUGCGCAAUGGGGGAAACCCUGACGCAGCAACGCCGCGUGAGUGAGGAAGGUCUUCGGAUUGUAAAACUCUUUUAUUAGGGAAAAAUGUCUAGGUGGCUAAUAUCCACUUAGAGUGAUGGUACCUAAGGAAUAAGCACCGGCUAACUUCGUGCCAGCAGCCGCGGUAAUACGAAGGGUGCAAGCGUUGUUCGGAAUCAUUGGGCGUAAAGCGCGCGCAGGCGGGUCAGUAAGUCAGGUGUGAAAUCUCGGAGCUCAACUCCGGAACGGCGCCUGAAACUAGUGGUGUAGAGUAUCGGAGGGGACAGGGGAAUUUCACGUGUAGUGGUAAAAUCCGUAGAGAUGUGAAGGAACACCGGAGGCGAAGGCGCCUGUCUGGACGAUUACUGACGCUGAGGCGCGAAAGCGUGGGGAGCAAACAGGAUUAGAUACCCCUGUAGUCC
rnacentral:rRNA from 1 species